GAUGAACGCUAGCGGCAGGCCUAACACAUGCAAGUCGAGGGGCAGCGCGAUGUAGCAAUACAUUGGCGGCGACCGGCGCACGGGUGCGUAACACGUAUGGAACUUGCCCUUUACUGGGAGAUAGCCCGGAGAAAUCCGGAUUAAUAUCCCAUAAUAGUCGAGGUGGCAUCACCUUGAUUUGAAAGCUCCGGCGGUAAAGGAUAGCCAUGCGUCCGAUUAGCUAGUAGGUGAGGUAACAGCUCACCUAGGCUACGAUCGGUAGGGGGGCCUGAGAGGGUUAUCCCCCACACUGGUACUGAGACACGGACCAGACUCCUACGGGAGGCAG
rnacentral:rRNA from 1 species